GAUGAACGCUGGCGGUAUGCUUAACACAUGCAAGUCGAACGGACUCUUCGGAGUUAGUGGCGGAUGGGUGAGUAACGCGUGAGAAUCUGGCUUUGGGUUCGGGACAACUACUGGAAACGGUGGCUAAUACCGGAUGUGCCGAGAGGUAAAAGAGAAAUUGCCUGCAGAUGAGCUCGCGUCUGAUUAGCUAGUUGGUGAGGUAAAGGCUCACCAAGGCAGCGAUCAGUAGCUGGUCUGAGAGGAUGACCAGCCACACUGGGACUGAGACACGGCCCAGACUCCUACGGGAGGCAGCAGUGGAGAAUUAUCCGCAAUGGGCGAGAGACUGACGGAGCACUACCGCGUGAGAGAAGAAGGCUCUUGGGUUGUAAACCUCUUUUCUUAGGGAAGAACAAAAUGACGGUACCUAAGGAAUCAGCAUCGGCUAACUCCGUG
rnacentral:rRNA from 1 species